GAGAGUUUGAUCCUGGCUCAGGACGAACGCUGGCGGCGGGCUUAACACAUGCAAGUCGAAGGAGAAGGAAAGAGCUUGCUCUUUCUGGAGACUGGCGGACGGGUGAGUAACGCGUAGCUAACCUGCCUUUAACUGGGGGAUAACAUUCCGAAAGGGGUGCUAAUACCGCAUAAAGCAACUGAGUCGCAUGACUCUAGUUGUUAAAGGUUUCGACCGGUUAAAGAGGGGGCUGCGUGCUAUUAGUUAGUUGGUGAGGUAACGGCUCACC
rnacentral:rRNA from 1 species